rnacentral:rRNA from 1 species
UACGUAGGGGGCAAGCGUUGUCCGGAAUCAUUGGGCGUAAAGCGCGUGUAGGCGGCCCGGUAAGUCCGCUGUGAAAGUCGGGGGCUCAACCCUCGAAUGCCGGUGGAUACUGUCGGGCUAGAGUGCGGAAGAGGCGAGUGGAAUUCCUGGUGUAGCGGUGAAAUGCGCAGAUAUCAGGAGGAACACCAAUUGCGAAGGCAGCUCGCUGGGACGUUACUGACGCUGGAUGCACGAAAGCUAGGGGAGCAAACGGG